rnacentral:rRNA from 1 species
UGAAUACGAGACGCUAAGGCGUUGAAGUAGUGUAUGUCAUACUUCCAAGAAAAGCUUGCACUGUCAUAGAUAAAAAACGCCUGUACCAUAACCGACACAGGUGGGUAGGUAGAGUAUACUAAGGGGCGCGAGAUAACUCUCUCUAAGGAACUCGGCAAAAUAACUCCGUAACUUCGGGAGAAGGAGUGCCUUAUUUAUAAGGCUGCAAUAACAAGAUCCAAGCAACUGUUUAUCAAAAACACAGGUCUCCGCUAAGUCGUAAGACGAUGUAUGGGGCUGACGCCUGCCCAGUGCCAGAAGGUUAAAGAAGUUGGUUAGCAAUAGCGAAGCUGAUAACUGAAGCCCUGGUGAACGGCGGCCGUAACUAUAACGGUCCUAAGGUAGCGAAAUUCCUUGUCGGGUAAGUUCCGACCCGCACGAAAGGCGUAAUGAUUUGGAUACUGUCUCGGAGAGGGGCUCGGUGAAAUAGACUUGUCUGUGAAGAUGCGGACUACCUGCACCAGGACAGAAAGACCCUAUGAAGCUUUACUGUAACUUGAAAUUGAAAUUGGACUUUAUUCGCGCAGUAUAGGUGGGAGGCGUUGAUUGUAAUCUUGCGGGAUUAUUGGAGCCAUCAGUGAGAUACCACCCUUGUAAUGUUAGAUUUCUAACUUUGAAUCAUUAUCUGGUCAAAGAACAGUUUCAGGCGGGCAGUUUGACUGGGGCGGUCGCCUCCUAAACGGUAACGGAGGCGUACAAAGGUUUCCUCUGAACGGUUAGAAAUCGUAUCUAGAGUGUAAAGGCAUAAGGAAGCUUGACUGUGAGACCUACAAGUCGAGCAGGGACGAAAGUCGGUCUUAGUGAACUGACGGUACUGAGUGGAAAGGCCGUCACUCAACGGAUAAAAGUUACUCUAGGAUAACAGGCUGAUCUCCCCCAAGAGUUCACAUCGACGGGGAGGUUUGGCACCUUGAUGUCGGCUCAUCGCAUCCUGGGGCGGUAGUACGUCCCAAGGGUUGGGCUGUUCGCCCAUGAAAGCGGUACGCGAGCUGGGUUCAGAACGUCGUGAGACAGUUCGGUCCAUAUCCGGUGUAGGCGUUAGAAUAUUGAGAGGAGCCUUCUUUAGUACGAGAGGACCGAGAAGGACAUACCUCUGGUGUACCAGUUAUCGUGCCAACGGUAAACGCUGGGUAGCUAUGUAUGGAGUGGAUAACCGCUGAAAGCAUCUAAGUGGGAAGCCCACCUCAAGAUAAG